rfam:Populus trichocarpa isolate Nisqually-1 chromosome 10, whole genome shotgun sequence.
AGCAAAAUGAUGAGAUUAACAUGGCUGAAUCUGAUGUGGAAUUCUAUAUCACUGGUCUUCAAAGUUCUCUGAUCGCU